AGCAGCCGCGGUAAUUCCAGCUCCAAUAGCGUAUAUUAAAGUUGUUGCAGUUAAAAAGCUCGUAGUUGAAUUUCGGGGUUAGUAGGCUGGUCGUGCCACUGGUAUGUACUGGUCUUACUGACUUCUCCUUUCUGAAGAACUGUAAUGCCAUUAAUUUGGUGUUGCAGGGGAAUCAGGACUGUUACUUUGAAAAAAUUGAGUGUUUAAAGCAGGCUAACGCUUGAAUACAUUAGCAUGGAAUAAUGAAAUAGGACGUUCGAUCCUAUUUUGUUGGUUUCUAGGAUCGACGUAAUGAUUAAUAGGGAUAGUUGGGGGCAUUAGUAUUCAAUUGUCAGAGGUGAAAUUCUUGGAUUUUAUUGAAGACUAACUACUGCGAAAGCAUUUGCCAAGGAUGUUUUCAUUAAUCAAGAACGAAGUUAGGGAUCGAAGACGAUCAGAUACCGUCGUAGUCUUAACCAUAAACUAUGCCGACUAGGGAUCGGAUGAUGUUAAUUUUUAAUGUACUCAGUUCGGCGUACCG
rnacentral:rRNA from 1 species